rnacentral:misc_RNA from 1 species
UUCUUUUUUUUUUUUUUUUACCACUUGAAUUCAUGGCGUCAUGCCGUUAUGCUGCCCAAUUUUUUUCGUUUAUCAACACUCUGCCUCUUCUUAAGAAUGCUAUUUAUUUUUUCUUGAAGACAAUAUAAAAAGCCACCAUCAAGAAUAAAUUAGUUAAAAGUAUGCUUCUUUAUUUACUAAACUAGUUAAAAGUACCAUAUUUUUAUGUUAAAAGUAUGUG